rnacentral:rRNA from 1 species
UACGUAGGGUGCGAGCGUUGUCCGGAUUUAUUGGGCGUAAAGAGCUCGUAGGCGGCUUGUCGCGUCGGAUGUGAAAGCCCGGGGCUUAACUCCGGGUCUGCAUUCGAUACGGGCAGGCUAGAGUGUGGUAGGGGAGAUCGGAAUUCCUGGUGUAGCGGUGAAAUGCGCAGAUAUCAGGAGGAACACCGGUGGCGAAGGAGGAUCUCUGGGCCAUACUGACGCUGAGGAGCGAAAGCGUGGGGAGCGAACAGG